UUCCAGACUCCUACGGGAGGCAGCAGUGGGGGAUAUUGCACAAUGGGGGGAACCCUGAUGCAGCGACGCCGCGUGGGUGAAGAAGCGCCUCGGCGCGUAAAGCCCUGUCAGCAGGGAAGAAAAUGACGGUACCUGAAGAAGAAGCCCCGGCUAACUACGUGCCAGCAGCCGCGGUAAUACGUAGGGAGCGAGCGUUGUCCGGAAUUACUGGGUGUAAAGGGAGCGUAGGCGGGACUGCAAGUUGGGUGUCAAAUCUACCGGCUCAACCGGUAGCCGCACUCAAAACUGCAGUUCUUGAGUGAAGUAGAGGCAGGCGGAAUUCCUAGUGUAGCGGUGAAAUGCGUAGAUAUUAGGAGGAACACCAGUGGCGAAGGCGGCCUGCUGGGCUUUUACUGACGCUGAGGCUCGAAAGUGUGGGGAGCAAACAGGAUUAGAUACCCGAGUAGG
rnacentral:rRNA from 1 species